CGUGUAGGCGGGCCUUCAAGUCGGGUGUGAAAACUGGCAGCUUAACUGCCAGCCUGCAUUCGAUACUGUUGGUCUUGAGUUCGGAAGAGGAAAGUGGAAUUCCAGGUGUAGCGGUGGAAUGCGUAGAUAUCUGGAAGAACACCAGUAGCGAAGGCGACUUUCUGGUCCGAAACUGACGCUAAAGCGCGAAGGCUUGGGGGAGCAAACA
rnacentral:rRNA from 1 species